rnacentral:rRNA from 1 species
UACGUAGGGGGCGAGCGUUGUCCGGAAUUACUGGGUGUAAAGGGCGUGUAGGCGGGGAUGCAAGUUAUCGGUAAAAACCCCAGGCUCAACUUGGGGCUUGCCGAUAAAACUGCAACUCUUGAGUGCAGGAGAGGGAAGUGGAAUUCCCGGAGUAGCGGUGAAAUGCGUAGAUACCGGGAGGAACACCAGUGGCGAAGGCGGCUUCCUGGCCUGUAACUGACGCUGAGGCGCGAAAGCUGGGGGAGCGAACGGGAUUAGAUACCCCGGUAGUCCCAGCCGUAAACGAUGGUCACUAGGUGUGGGGUGUGGUCAAGCAUUCCGUGCCGGAGCUAACGCAAUAAGUGACCCACCUGGGGAGUACGGCCGCAAGGUUGAA